CAACUACUCCCUCUGUCCCAAAUUUCUUGUCUUAGAUUUGUCUAGAUAUGGAUGUAUCUAAUACUAAAAUGUGACUUGAUACAUCCGUAUCUAGAAAAAUCCAAGACAAGAAUUUUGGGACGGAGGGAGUACUUU
rnacentral:pre_miRNA from 1 species